CUGAAGAAACGUUACAGUCUGACUGUGAAGGACAGCCGCGACAGGGAGGAGUUCAGACGGGCUGCGGUCAAACGGAAGGUCAAAGGUGCAGAUUGCCUCGUCUCACACACAGGAGAGCCUGAUGCGGCUGCUGGAGAUCUAUGAGAUGCUUGGGGAGGAGGUGGUCAAUCCGACCAACGAGCUCCUCAGGGAAGGUCGUCUGCUCAAGCUUGCUGCCAGGAACACCUCCACCAGGGAGAGGCACCUAUUCCUGGUGUCAGUGGAGCUGAUGGCAGUAUCCAGUCAGAUCUGGAGCACCUGGGCCCAGCGCAGGAUAUAAAAGGCCCAGCAUCUGCCAUUUCAGGGCUCUCUCUCCCUGCCAGAGCCAGAAAACCCCGUUGUUUUGUCUUUUGUUUUCAUAAUUUGCUUCACAACACCUUACAUCACAUUAUCCACACACAU